UACAGAGGGUGCAAGCGUUGUUCGGAAUUAUUGGGCGUAAAGCGCGUGUAGGCGGCUUUGCAAGUCGGGUGUGAAAGCCCUCAGCUUAACUGAGGAAGUGCGCCCGAAACUGCAGAGCUUGAAUACCGGAGAGGAUGGCGGAAUUCCCCAAGUAGAGGUGAAAUUCGUAGAUAUGGGGAGGAACACCGGUGGCGAAGGCGGCCAUCUGGACGGCUAUUGACGCUGAGACGCGAAAAGCGUGGGGGAGCAAACAGGG
rnacentral:rRNA from 1 species